UGGGGAAUAUUGGACAAUGGGCGAAAGCCUGAUCCAGCCAUGCCGCGUGUGUGAAGAAGGUCUUCGGAUUGUAAAGCUCUUUAAGUUGGGAGGAAGGGCAGUAAGCGAAUACCUUGCUGUUUUGACGUUACCGACAGAAUAAGCACCGGCUAACUCUGUGCCAGCAGCCGCGGUAAUACAGAGGGUGCAAGCGUUAAUCGGAAUUACUGGGCGUAAAGCGCGCGUAGGUGGUUCGUUAAGUUGAAUGUGAAAGCCCCGGGCUCAACCUGGGAACAGCAUGCAAAACUGGCGAGCUAGAGUAGGGCAGAGGGGGGGGGAAUUUCCUGUGUAGCGGUGAAAUGCGUAGAUAUAGGAAGGAACACCAGUGGCGAAGGCGACCACCUGGGCUCAUACUGACACUGAGGUGCGAAAGCGUGGGGAGCAAACAGG
rnacentral:rRNA from 1 species